rnacentral:lncRNA from 1 species
AUGGAAAAUGCUGAUGGGCUUCCGAGUCUGACUCUGAGGAGGAGGUCUCGGGACCCUGAAGGGGAUACCGCUCCAGGAUCGCGGCGCUUCGGGCUUCAGACGGCCGGGGGUCGCGGCUGCCUGGCCCAGGCCUCUCCACGCCUCCAGCGGCGGCCGGCCCGGGGCGCGCCGCGUCCUGCCCCGCUGAUGGCCCGAGGACUUCGCUCUCUCGCUCAGGGGUUUCCGCGCCCUGCUCUGCGGAGGGUGCAGAGAUUUCGCCGCCCGGCCUGGGGACCUCGGCGUCUCGCUCUGCGGCAGGCCCUGGGACUUCGCUGUCAGACCCGGGGGGCUCGAGGCCCCGAGCUUCAGACGACCCCAGGGCUCCGCUCUCCGGCUCGGGGCCUUGGGGUCCAGGGUUGGGAGCAGCUCGGAAGCCUUAGUUCCCAGCGCCGGAGUUCUGAUGCCCAGAGCUGGGACACGGUGCUCUGCGCGGCACCUGUGGCCGCAGUCACCGCCCGCGGGUUCCAGGGCGUCGCCUGCACCGGCCGCUUCUCUGACCCGCCUCUGGCCUCCAAGAACAACCCCCGGGGGCAGGGCCGGGCACCGCCCCCUGCACCUGCCGGGAGGACUCCGGCCCCGCCCUCGGGGCGGGGGCGCCCAGGCGAGGCACCGGAUUUCGGCCACUGGCGCGCCCCAGGUCAGCUCAGGGCACCAGACUUCUUGGAAGAGCGCUUCCCUAGACCCUGCCAGCUACCUGGGGGGCCAGUCUGGGUGCCGUGUCCACUCACUGGGCGCCACCUGGGUUCCUUUUCGGCCCCACGCCCCCGGCAUUGCCUGGAGGCUUGGUCCCAGCUGCGCGCCGGGCUGGCCCUCUGGUGGGGAUGUCCCCCGAAGCCAUCUUUCCGAGGCCUUGCCAGCCCCGCCCAGCCGGCGGGUAGCGACGCCCCGGGCCUCUGGGCUGUCCCCUACACGUCCCACCCCUGCCACGCACAGCUCUGGCUGGAGGGGGAGCCAGGGGCCGCCUCAGUCUCCCUCUCAGCGCCUGGGCUGGGCGGGGCUCCCAGCGGGACGGCCGGGCCCGCGCCCAGCCCGGAGGCGGCCUCCCCCAGCCCUGCGGGAAACGUCUGCGAGGCAUCUGCGGCCAAACUCGCUCCCGCUUCAGGGAAGAGGGAGGGACGGCCGCAGCGAGCCCAGGGCCGGCCGAGCGGCUGCGGCUGA